UAGGGGUUGCAAUGCUUAAUAGUAAUCUAGUGGAGGUCGAAAGCCUAGGAAGUUAGAUGAAAGGAAACAUUGCCGAAGUGGUUACGUCAAAGUAACUGCUGGGGUUAUAUCGAAUAGGUAUAGCACUGUCUUAAUAACUGCCGUUAUUAAGGAGCACUACUUG
rnacentral:ncRNA from 1 species